AUCAACUACAAGUUCCACAAAUCCUGACUGUGCUGCUUGGAGCAAUAAUCCUGAUACUCUCUGUUUUAACUGCAACUCAUGCAAGGCUGGACUGUUAGAUAACAUCAAGAGGGACUGGAAGAAAGUAGCUGUUGUGAACAUAAUAUUCCUUGUGUUCCUAAUCAUUGUGUACUCUGUUGGAUGCUGCGCUUUCAGGAACAACAGAAGCGAUAAUGCUUAUUUUUCUGGAUGGAAGCAGCAACCUUGAGUGUUUCUAACUAGUAUGAAUAGGGACAUCUAUGUAGGAUUUUGUUAUUGCUAUUAGUUUCACGCAACUAUGCUUUCUUUUUUUUAGGGGGUCGGAACCAUUCUCUGUAUUUGCUGCUUAGUUUGUUAUUAAUGUGUGUUGGCU
rnacentral:lncRNA from 1 species